rnacentral:rRNA from 1 species
GCUCAGAUUGAACGCUGGCGGCAGGCCUAACACAUGCAAGUCGAACGGUAACAGGGAGCAGCUUGCUGCUCUGCUGACGAGUGGCGGACGGGUGAGUAAUGUCUGGGAAACUGCCUGAUGGAGGGGGAUAACUACUGGAAACGGUAGCUAAUACCGCAUAACGUCUACGGACCAAAGUGGGGGACCUUCGGGCCUCAUGCCAUCAGAUGUGCCCAGAUGGGAUUAGCUAGUAGGUGGGGUAACGGCUCACCUAGGCGACGAUCCCUAGCUGGUCUGAGAGGAUGACCAGCCACACUGGAACUGAGACACGGUCCAGACUCCUACGGGAGGCAGCAGUGGGGAAUAUUGCACAAUGGGCGCAAGCCUGAUGCAGCCAUGCCGCGUGUAUGAAGAAGGCCUUCGGGUUGUAAAGUACUUUCAGCGGGGAGGAAGGUGUUGUGGUUAAUAACCACAGCAAUUGACGUUACCCGCAGAAGAAGCACCGGCUAACUCCGUGCCAGCAGCCGCGGU